CGGGGAAAGGGGCCAGGGCGCUGAGCUAGGGCGGAGGCUCCUCUCAGAGCAGCCGCCAGGCGGGCCGGGGCUCGGGACUCGCUCGGCGCAGGGAGAAUUCACUACCACUACCCGAGGCGGGGUGAAGCGUUCCAACGAGUUCAGCGGACCGCCUGCUGUCUGCACCACAGAGAUCAGCCAGCUCACCCCCAUUCUCCUCCUAUGGGGUUGAUGUCCCUUAGCUACAGCCUGAUGAAAACUACUGAGCCUUGGCUCCUUUCAGGAUUUACAGCCACACACCUGAGCCGGUGAGACAGACGGACAGUGAGACUGACAAAUAAGGAAAAGAAAGAAAAAACAAAAGCCAAAUACUGCUAACAUGAAGCUAUUACCUGACGAA